UACGUAGGGUGCGAGCGUUGUCCGGAAUUAUUGGGCGUAAAGAGCUCGUAGGCGGUUUGUCGCGUCUGCCGUGAAAGUCCGGGGCUCAACUCCGGAUCUGCGGUGGGUACGGGCAGACUAGAGUGCGGUAGGGGAGAUUGGAAUUCCUGGUGUAGCGGUGGAAUGCGCAGAUAUCAGGAGGAACACCGAUGGCGAAGGCAGAUCUCUGGGCCGUAACUGACGCUGAGGAGCGAAAGCAUGGGGAGCGAACAGG
rnacentral:rRNA from 1 species